CGUAAAGAACUUGCCUCACAGCUAGGGACAGCAUUUAGAAAUGAAUGCUAAUACCUGAUAUUAUGAUUUUAAGGCAUCUUAGAAUUAUGAAAGCUAUAAGCACUGUGAGAGAGCUUUGCGUCCCAUUAGCUAGUUGGAGAGGUAACAGCUCACCAAGGCGAUGAUGGGUAGCCGGCCUGAGAGGGUGAACGGCCACAAGGGGACUGAGACACGGCCCUU
rnacentral:rRNA from 1 species